rnacentral:lncRNA from 1 species
GUUCGAGAUAAGGGUAGCUAGGUGUUCUUGUUUCGGGUAUUAGUAUCGGAGUUGCUUUUUGAGUAGUUGAUUGACUACUUGCUAUGUCUUUGUAGUUGAUUGACUACUUGCUAUGUCUUUGUAGUCGGUACUUGCCUAGUAGCUUGGCCUGGAGAAUUGCCUGUUCCAGGGCGAGUUCUUGUUUAAUACCGAGUGGAACUCCAGGCUAGGAAUACGGAAUUACAGAAUUGAACUAACUCAUUGGUAGUUGAGGAUAAGAUUCUGUGCUUGUGUUAAGCAAGUAGUCAAUCUAUCUCCUUCGUCGGCUUGUCCCCUCCAUAAUUCUAUAUUAUCUUAUUAAGGAUUGAGCUGUUCUUAUUAAGGAUUGAGUUUAGAAAGAGCCAAGGAACUACUAGACAAGAGCUAAGCAAGAAGGAGUUCAGUCUGCUCUUCCUCUGUAUACCUAUAACUACUCCGCAGGGGAAACUUCCACUCAUUAAGGAGCUGAGCUGCUAGAAGGAGAAGAGGAGAGGAAGCAAUAAGUACUUCAGUAAAGGAUCGGAAAGGUGGGUAAGAAAGGUAGAGAAUAGAGUUGACUUAGGAAUCGCAUGGGAUGAAUCAAAGAAAACCCCUUUUUAUGGUUGUUUAAGCCAGGGAAAUGACACUCGGUUGUUUAAGCCAGGGAAAUGACACUAGAGUAUAUGCUUGGCCCGAAGUCCUGAUUAAUAGCGUCAG